ensembl:lincRNA D930032P07Rik RIKEN cDNA D930032P07 gene
CUCCCGCGGCGCGAGCGAGAGAACGCAACAAAACAAAACAAACUCGUGCCGGCUUCCUGUUGUGCAACCACUUUCUGAGCCGGGUGUUGGAAGGAGGGUGGACUUUGGAAUCAGAAAACCUGGAAAUCUCAACUCCACUACUUACUCCAAAGACGAGAGGUUGUACCCUGGCCCAUUGAGGACUUCAGUCCUGCUACCUGAGGCUUUGUAAAGAGCAGGUCUCCAGCAGAAGGUGUGGCCCAGAUUAAAGGUGUGUACCACCACACCUGGAUCUGGGACUUGCUUUGUCCCAGAUGACCUUGAGCUCAGAGAUCUCCUUGCCUUAGUCUCCUGGGAUUCAUAGCCACUAUGCCUCAAGAUCUCCAGGCCAAGAUCCAGGUCAGAAACUUCUCUCUCUCAGUCUCAAGAUCUGGAUCACAGAGCCGAACAUUACCCCACUUUGGAGAGUUCGGUGCAUGCUGAUGACGAGUGGAUGUAUCACAAAUACACACCAGGGUAUGAAAAGACUUCUGUUGGAAGCUACCAAGUGUCACUGUAAGAAGAGGCACCAUCUUAUCCUGGUUGUUAUACUAAUUCUCUACAGGUUCUGUGACAAAGUCUGAUAGACUGCUGACUUCAGACAACAGGAUACAUCUUCUUGCAGCUCAAGAGGCUGAUUUACUCCAAGGAUUUCUCAUGCCCUUUGGAGUCCUAUCCUGUCCCUAAUUAGUCUAGUAGAAACUCUGAAAUCCCACCUUUGUCUCAAUAUCUUAAAACAGAACUCCCACAAAGGAAGACAUAUCCCAAAUCAAUAUCAUAGAACAGACAUGCCUUGCUAGAAGUCCUCUGUCACCCUUGAGACCUUUCACCCUCAAACCUGGUGUUCUGAGGCAAAGAUCGUGCUCUGACUCUCAGCAUCUGUUACUGACUUCAACUUCGCUGUGGAAGACUCCCUCCAAUGGUUUAGUUGAGUACAAGACUAACCAGCUAAAGACAGGAUAUAAUAAUGUGUAAUAUAACAUACAUUCAUAUGUAAUAAAAAUUAUUCCUGUUUGCUUG